UACGGAGGGUGCAAGCGUUAUCCGGAUUUACUGGGUUUAAAGGGUGCGUAGGUGGGUCUGUAAGUCAGUGGUGAAAUCUUCGAGCUUAACUCGGAAACUGCCAUUGAUACUAUAGGUCUUGAAUUAUCUGGAGGUAAGCGGAAUAUGUCAUGUAGCGGUGAAAUGCUUAGAUAUGACAUAGAACACCAAUUGCGAAGGCAGCUUACUACGGAUCGAUUGACACUGAGGCACGAAAGCGUGGGGAUCAAACAGG
rnacentral:rRNA from 2 species